rnacentral:rRNA from 1 species
AGAAUCAACGCUGGCGGCGUGCCUAACACAUGCAAGUCGAACGAGAAAGCGGGGGCAACUCCGUGAGUAAAGUGGCGCACGGGUGAGUAACACGUAGCUAACCUACCCUCAAGCGGGGGAUAACCUGGGGAAACCCGGGCUAAUACCGCAUAACAUCCCGAUAACACAGGUUGUUGGGAUCAAAGGCCUUGCAAGGGUCACUGGAGGAGGGGGCUGCGGCCGAUUAGCUAGUUGGUGAGGUAACGGCCCACCAAGGCGAUGAUCGGUAGCCGGCCUGAGAGGGCGCACGGCCACACUGGCACUGAAACACGGGCCAGACUCCUACGGGAGGCAGCAGUGGGGAAUUUUGCACAAUGCCCGAAAGGGUGGUGCAGCAACGCCGCGUGAGGGAUGAAGGCCUUCGGGUCGUAAACCUCUUUCGACCGGGAAAAAUGGGCUGGUGAAGAGCCAGUUCUGAUGGUACUGGUGGAAGAAGCCCCGGCUAACUACGUGCCAGCAGCCGCGGUAAUACGUAGGGGGCGAGCGUUGUUCGGAAUUACUGGGCGUAAAGGGCGUGUAGGCGGUGCGGUAAGUUGGGCGUGAAAUCCCCGAGCUUAACUCGGGUGGGCCGUUCAAGACUGCCGUGCUAGGGUGCGGGAGAGGGAAGUGGAAUUUCCGGUGUAGCGGUGAAAUGCGUAGAUAUCGGGAGGAACACCUGCGGCGAAGGCGGCUUCCUGGACCGUAACCGACGCUGAGGCGCGAAAGCUAGGGGAGCAAACAGGAUUAGAUACCCUGGUAGUCCUAGCCCUAAACGAUGAGCACUGGGUGUGGUCCCUCACGGGGCCGUGCCGAAGCUAACGCAUUAAGUGCUCCGCCUGGGGAGUACGGUCGCAAGGCUG